CCUACGGGAGGCAGCAGUAAGGAAUAUUGGUCAAUGGACGAAAGUCUGAACCAGCCAUGCCGCGUGAAGGAUGAAGGCCCUCUGGGUUGUAAACUUCUUUUAUAGGGGACGAAAAAAGGGCAUUCUUGCUCACUUGACGGUACCCUAGGAAUAAGCACCGGCUAACUCCGUGCCAGCAGCCGCGGUAAUACGGAGGGUGCAAGCGUUAUCCGGAUUUACUGGGUUUAAAGGGUGCGUAGGUGGGUUGGUAAGUCAGCGGUGAAAUCUUCGAGCUUAACUCGGAAACUGCCAUUGAUACUAUCAAUCUUGAAUCAUCUAGAGGUAAGCGGAAUAUGUCAUGUAGCGGUGAAAUGCUUAGAUAUGACAUAGAACACCAAUUGCGAAGGCAGCUUACUAUGGAUGUAUUGACACUGAGGCACGAAAGCGUGGGGAUCGAAACAGGAUUAGAUACCCUGGUAGUCCACGCCCUAAACUAUAGGAUACUCGACAUUUGCGAUAUACUGUAAGUGUCUGAGCGAAAGCAUUAAGUAUCCCACCUGGGAAGUAACGAUCGCAAGAUUGAAACUCAAAUUGAAUUGACGGGCNGNGAGNGCGAGACGCGACGAGGAGGAGG
rnacentral:rRNA from 1 species